rnacentral:rRNA from 1 species
GACGAACGCUGGCGGCGUGCCUAAUACAUGCAAGUCGAGCGCAGGAAAUCGACGGAACCCUUCGGGGGGAAGUCGACGGAAUGAGCGGCGGACGGGUGAGUAACACGUAAAGAACCUGCCCUCAGGUCUGGGAUAACCACGAGAAAUCGGGGCUAAUACCGGAUGGGUCAUCGGACCGCAUGGUCCGAGGAUGAAAGGCGCUUCGGCGUCGCCUGGGGAUGGCUUUGCGGUGCAUUAGCUAGUUGGUGGGGGAAUGGCCCACCAAGGCGACGAUGCAGAGCCGACCUGAGAGGGGGAUCGGCCACACUGGGACUGAGACACGGCCCAGACUCCUACGGGAGGCAGCAGUAGGGAAUCUUCCACAAUGGACGAAAGUCUGAUGGAGCAACGCCGCGUGAACGAUGAAGGCCUUCGGGUCGUAAAGUUCUGUUGUAAGGGAAGAACAAGUGCCGCAGGCAAUGGCGGCACCUUGACGGUACCUUGCGAGAAAGCCACGGCUAACUACGUGCCAGCCGCCGCAGUAA